UUGAAUGCCACUGUAGAGCGAAUAACGAGGAAACUUUCUGGGCAAUCGAGAAAAUUUGACAAUUGAGUGGCAUCCGGCAAGUGAAAAUGGCUUGGCCCAGAUAAUGCAAGUGGGCCAAGCCGAAAUGCUUCAAGGACAACCGGCCAGAGUCGCAUUAUUGCCAAAUGGCAAUUAAACUCAAACACAUUGUACACACACAUGUGUGUGUGUGACCCCUGCUGUCCUGCAGAGAAAUGUGGAUAUGAGCAUCAUAAUCAUUAAACCGUUUUAUAGUAUGGUGUCGCCAUAAUUAUUCUAUUAUUAAGUACCAAAACAUUUGUCAUGCCAGCCAUGCCAGGAAUUGCUCGCAUAUUUGUAGUAGCAGCGGCUGUUGCAGCUGUUUAUAAAUGAUUAAACCUGGCCAACUCGAGGGCGUCCCGGGGCAUUGGGCAUCCUUGGUCCUUGGUCCUUGGUCCUUGGCCCUGCUCGAAUGUAUCCUUGUGGCCUUACACAACGUCUGUGAUUGUGCGGUGGUGGUCAAGUGUGUGUGUGUGUGUCCUGCUGUUGAACGCAAACUUAGCCGCUUGGCAAAUAAACAUUUUAGCAAAUUUACUGCCAACUGACAGCUGUCAGCUUUAUAACCACCAUCAAACAAUGGCAAUGCGAUGGUGCGGGGUACUUCCAGUGGCUUUCUGGAUGCGAGGUGUGCACAGACCGCAUCACUAUUUGCCAGGUGAGUGGUCGGGAGGGAGAGAGUCCUGCGACAACUAAGCACACAGCAAGGGUCACACAUACUGAAGCACAAAAGUGGAGGAUACUGGCUAAAGUAGCUAAGCACAUAGACACACACACCCACACAUAUGCACGCGUUGAAGGGGACGGGCAGCCAGGCAGUUUUGCCUACUUAACACUUCAUUGAAAAACCACUUGGAAAGCCACUCCACCCACGUGGGCAGAACCCACGAAAUAGGAAGGAUACAUAAGGGCACUCAGCGAAAAUUACUCGAAUUUCGGAAUACAAUUUCGGCCAACUAAAAAUAACAAGUCCAUAUACCAAGGGAUUCCAAAAGUUAGUUAGUUCUUCGGAAAUUACUUCUUUCAAUUGGCGCAUUCAGAAAGCAAAUAUUUGUUGCUGUGUAGUAGUACAGCAAUAGUCCGUUCAGUGGAGGAAAUAAACUGUUUGCACUGGAUGGAAAUACGAUGAAGUCUCUUUUUGUGUGGGCCAACCAUGCCGCUGCCCAUUUUCCCGGCCACCUCACAAUCCCGGCUUGACUUUGACAUUCCGCAGGUUAAUCGCGAGAGAGAGUGGUCCAAAGGCAUAGCCGGGCCAAUUCCGCUCCGGCUCAAAGCAUUCCGGAUGGCAAUUCUGGCCGAGCGAGCGAGCGUGCGCGGACUGUCCACUGCAGGCAUGCAUAAAGUAACUAUAUACUAUAUAGUAUACAAACAAAAACAAAAAACAACAAAAAAAAACAAGGAAGAAAAUAAACACACAAGGCUGUUGAUACAAAAAUGAAAGCACACACACACACACACACACUGGCACUGGCACAGGCACAAAAUGCUUGACAUUUUCGCAUAGCUCAGAAAAUUGCUACUGCUGCUGCGGUGCCUUUGAGUUUGCCGUCGCUGGCGGAUUUGUUUCACUCCUGGCAUCCCGGUUUAUUACACACAAAUUUGCACAAAUUUAUAUUAAGCGGAGAGCAAGUGGCACUGGACAUGGCCAGGCGGCACUACUGGAAUCCCCAGCACAACUGGCACCCAGUUUUCAGGGCUCACGGGUUGCAGGAGCUGGAGCUGGAGCAGGAGCCGAAGCAUCACAGGAGAGCAUCCCAAGUAACCCCUGCUAUGGCGGCCAGUCACUUAAAUGCCCCAGAAAUAAACUGCAACUGCACACAGUGUGCUCAAGUUAAGACAACUUUUGGCAGCUGCAUUUGAACACUCACAAAGGGCCAAAUGUUGCUGUUGAGCAGCGAACUUGGCAUGCUCUUCAUCAUCAGCAGCUGAUUGGCGCGGUGUUUACCAAGAAUGCGAUUUUAAGAUACAUUUUGGGCUUUUCCAUUUAAUGCACAUAUAGUUUUAUCAUGAAUGUGUCACAAAAAUCAAUUCUUUUAUAAGUGUAGAUAUGUUAAAAAGGAAACGUUAUGCAUAGAAUUAUAAUAUUAUUUUAACUUUCGA